AUUCUUUUUCUUUCCAAUCCAAAAAACAAAAAAUAAUAAUAAUAAUAAGAAAAAGGAAAAAGAAAAGCUUGCUCUCUCCCUCUCUCACUGUUUUGGCGUAAGCAAUGGAGCAGAAAAGCUGACGCUGUAUUUUCCGAGAAAAUUAAAGCAAAAGAAGGGGGCUUAUCAGUUUAUCUGCUGGCACUUCUCUUUUUUAUUUACUUUCAUAUACUAUCAGAUAUUUCUUAUUCAAAAUCUUAGCUUUUGUGUAAAGAGGGAAUAAAGUUGGUGGAUUUAUAGAUAUUGCAGUGCCAAGUGGUUUAAGUUGCUUGACACGCCUAUCAACGUUGGAGGGGGAAAGCAAUAGAUAUCUGGAAAGUCUAUAAGCGACCUAUGUUUUAGCACCUUCUAAUUGGGUUGCCAGACUUCGAUGGGCAGCUUCUCUCCAGAAGAAAGCGGUAAGCAAACUGACCACUAUCCUUUGCUAAUGGAACGAGUGGAAAGCCAUAUUGAUCAAGAGCACAUCAUUGACAUAACAAGGCAUGAUGAUACUUCUUCAAGCUCGUCUCAGGGUGAACAACCUUCUGGAGUGAACUUAGAACAGAAUGAAAAUAGGCCUUCUAGCGGCACACAAGCUCCCAUUAAUCAGACUGCUUCCUCAAACAGAUUAAACUCUAGGAGUUCAUCAUUCAUGAGGAGAAAUGAUGGGUAUGGUUGACGUCGCAGGAGCCCUUUAAAUUCUGAAUUAUGGAUUUCUGUUGAGUUAGUUGGUACUUUCAGUCAGAUUAUAACAUCUAUCGUUGUUUGUCAUUGUCAAGAAAUGAAAAGCCACAAUGCAACACUUCCUAUUCUUUAUUAUCGCUUUCAUAACCGCAACAGGGAUAUUAAGCAAGAUUUGUCACACUCAGGUCAAGGUUCUUCUCAUAGCAAUCCUACUGAUUCUACACCCUAUACAGCUAUCUCAGUUACUCAUGCUUCAAACGAGGCGAAUAAUCACAUCACUGAAUCAGCAACAACGAACAGUCAGAUUGCAGGAACCAUAAGUACCAAGUGUGUUUGCAUUUGUUAUUCAAUCGCUACUUGAUUUCUACUUUUGGGUUAAUAAAACUCCACAUUGCUCUUACUUUUUGUAUGAUAAAGUUGGAUAGAAUGGACUGGGAAAUA